rnacentral:rRNA from 1 species
UGGGGGAUCUUCCGCAAUGGACGAAAGUCUGACGGAGCAACGCCGCGUGAGUGAUGACGGGCUUCGGGUUGUAAAGCUCUGUUAAUCGGGACGAAAGGUCCUCUUGCGAAUAGUUAGAGGAAUUGACGGUACCGGAAUAGAAAGCCACGGCUAACUACGUGCCAGCAGCCGCGGUAAUACGUAGGUGGCAAGCGUUGUCCGGAAUUAUUGGGCGUAAAGCGCGCGCAGGCGGAUCAGUCAGUCUGUCUUAAAAGUUCGGGGCUUAACCCCGUGAUGGGAUGGAAACUGCUGAUCUAGAGUAUCGGAGAGGAAAGUGGAAUUCCUAGUGUAGCGGUGAAAUGCGUAGAUAUUAGGAAGAACACCAGUGGCGAAGGCGACUUUCUGGACGAAAACUGACGCUGAGGCGCGAAAGCCAGGGGAGCGAACGGGAUUAGAUACCCCGGUAGUCCUGGCCGUAAACGAUGGGUACUAGGUGUAGGAGGUAUCGACCCCUUCUGUGCCGGAGUUAACGCAAUAAGUACCCCGCCUGGGGAGUACGACCGCAAGGUUG